rnacentral:lncRNA from 1 species
GAGAUGAUCAAUUUGAGGAUAUUUGGGCAUCAAAACAGCUUCUAAUGAAAUGAGGUGAGUUCUAAUAUGAUUGUUUAGAGCCUUGGCUCUAUAUAAUCUUUUUCUUUUAGAUACUGUGUACAACAUAUUAUUUUCAAUGUUUGUUUUUUUUUCAUAACCACAUGGUCUGGGAUGAUUGAAUUUAGAGGUUUCUUUACCCCAAAAUUGCAAUUUUCGUGGAGUUUUAAGUUGACCAUAUUACUAUUAAAACAUUUUUCAUGAAUUAAAUCUAGUCAAGUCUAUCGAGUUUCAUAGGUGUGGAGGCAUAAAGGAACCAUUUCAAUUUGGUAAUUAGAUGAAAAUACCCUUGAGAAAUGAUAUUUAAAAUGUUAUAUCCUGUAUGAAGGAUUGCAUCGACUAAUCUAGAGAAGUCCUAAUAUUAUUACCUGACCAUUUAUUUUUAUUAUAGGAAGGUUAUAAUCAUUUUUAGUCAUUGGAUUCAAAAUCCAAUAGAUAAAAUAUUUCAUAGUAUUUCAAAAAUUUUAUUUUAGACUAUGUCCAUGACACACUUGAAGUGAAUAAUGUGACAGCUAUAACCAAAAGAUUUAUGCUUCUGUCGGAGCAUAUUGUUGAGAUCCACGAGUAUAACAGUGAAGCCUUGCCAUUGAGAUCUAACGCACUACAAAGACUCGCCUCAUGUCGACAUAAAUCGUUAAAAGUACGUUACGGUUAUAGUUGUCACAUUAUUCACUUCUAAAUUUUGAGGCUUAUAAAUAUGGAAAUUUUAUAAAAAAGUGAAUGGUUUUAUUGUAUAUAUUUCUAUAUUUAUAAGCUUCAAAAUUUAGAAGUGAAUAAUGUGACAACUAUAACCUUAGCGUACUUUUAGCGAUUUAUGUGGACAGGAGGCGAGGCUUUGUAGUGCGUUAGAUCUCAAUGGCAAGGCUUCACUGUUAUACUCGUGGAUCUCAAUAGUAUGCUCCGAUAGAAGCAUAAAUCCUUUGGUAUUUAUUUAAUGGGUGUGAUUUGUAUAAAGCAGAUGCUUUAAACAAUCAAAGUAAAGUGCACCUUUAGAUAGCGUUCAGAAUGUGGUUUCAAUACGGGAAAUCUUUGUGAUAGCCUUAAAAUAUAUUUUUAUUUUUAAUUAUAAAAUUUAAAAUUUAAAAUUUAGUGUAGAUCGAGCAGAUAUUGGAAAUUUUAAAAUCUUAAAAAUUGAUGUUUCAAAAAUACAUUAUAAUAUGUAUUAUUUUCAAAACUUGAAAUCCAUUUUUUUUCUCAUGUCCAUGUAUCAAUUUGAGGAUCAAAACAACCUCUUUUAGUGAAAUUUUUGAGGUGCACCUGAAUUUAAUUAUUUAAAGCCUUGCACUUAUAUAAACUUUUUCCUUAUUUAAUGGGGAGACAAUUUUUUAAGGAAAUUGUUUGAUAGGGCUGCAGCGCUAUCAAAGUAAGUAAAGCCCCACCUCAUAACUCAUCGAAAAUUACAAUUCAAGUAUUGGAAGACCUUUACAUUCGAUCAUCUUGACUUGAACAUUAUGGUUGUGAAAAAAAAAUAGUAUUUCAAGCUCUAAAAAUAGUGUAUAUUGUAACAAAUCAUUUAAACUGUCUAUUUCACCCUAAAAAUAAGUGUUUAUAGAUUCAAAAGAUUGGUACCAUCUAAUUUACUUUCAAUUUUUUUUUUUGGUGUUGGAAAUUGAUUUUAGAGCCAUGAAGAUUCCGAAAGUGCUUUCCCGAGGAUUUGAGGUGAGGCUUUAUUUUGUUUUCAUAAAUCCUAAGCCUUGCAUAAACCUCAUCCAUUUUUCUACAGCCUUAAAAAAUCAUAUUCCUUGCGUCUAUCCCUUGGCCUCCGUCUCUUAUCACUUGAUAGUGACAUAAUCAUAUGAGACAUAAAGAGUAGGUCAUGGUGCUUUGAUUAAAGGCUAAGGAAUUGGAAAGAAAGCUUCCACUUGUACCAUUAUAUUUUGCUCACACUAUUAAGCCUUCAUGGUGGUCCAUUGGGGUGCGCUCCUUUUGUGACAAGUUGGCCUUGUUUUGUCUCCAUGGGCAUUGAGCAAGAGGAGUGCUUCACGCUUCUAUCAAUUUCUACGGUCACGACAGAUCACCAUAUUCCAUUAUAUUGAGCUGGUGCUUUUAAAUUUUAUGGGAUUCCGUUAUAUUGAGUUAGUGCUUUUCAAUUUUAAGGGCUUUAAGCUCUUUGAGUGGCUUAUGGAGGAGUCACAAUGACUUGAGUUUCCUACAUCUUGAUUUCUUUCUUGAGGUGGUCUUAUGUUAAAGUUCGUUUUUUCUUUUUAAACCUUCAGUCGUUUGAAGGCAUUGCCAUAAAGUGUGUCAUAUGUCGCCAAGUGUAUCUUAC